GUAAUGUAACCAAAUAUUUAACACAAUUAUCUUGAAAUCUGAAUAUAUAGUUUAAAACAGAACUUGUUGGGACCUGCUGUGUGCAAGUACACCCUCACCUCAGGAGGCCAGAUGUUUAGACCCAUUAAUUUCCCUUCUGUGUGCCAAGCAUGAGGUGGAUGACAUUUUUGUUCUAGCACUUUCUACUGACAGGUGACAGAUGACAAUCUGCACAUAGUUAAGACUAUUUUAGAGAGCCAUAAGUCCUAGUCAGGCUGUGUUCUAGAGAGGAUGACUGGGGGCUGCUUUGGAUUUUGUGGUCUGGACUGGGAAAGCCCUCAGGACAAUAGAGGCAAACUACUCAGUGCAUAGUACCUGCUCUGAAAAUAGUAACUUAUUUUGAUGAUAAUAAUGGCUUACGCAAUAACUCUUAACUCUGUCUACUGUGUGCUAGGCCCUAUGCUGUGCAAUUAUGAUACAAUGCAAUUAUGAUACAAUGUAGGGUAUGUCUGAGAGGGGAAGGUGCCAGAGGUGGGAGUUCAGAGGAGGCUCCCAGGAAGGGGGCUCCCUUAAGGAAGGUGCAUGACUGUGUGGGGAGUAGUAACUUGUUUUGUAUACCUUGAUCUGAGUUUUCAUCAUAGCGCUGUGCUCUGUGUGUAUGUGUGUGUUCAUGCAGUUAUACAUACUCAGUCACUUCUCCACUGAAGGAAGGUUGGCAGUAAGAUUAUUGUUUUGUCUCCAGAUGGAUAAGAAGAAAGAAUUGUAGGGACUUUCAGAGGAAUAUAAAUCUUUGCCAGUUCACCUAGUCUCUUCUGUCCUUACUUCUGUGAAGAAAAGGAGAAAGGGUUGGCGAUGACCAUUUGGAAGAACAACAAUGCAGUGUGAUGAAUAUCUCCCUCACUAGGCUGUGAACCCCAAAGGACUUCAACAAUGCAGAAAGUAACCAAAGCAGAAAAUGUACAAGUAAAGGUGAAAGACAGCAGGAUGAUGAAUAACUCUCAGACCAGCUUUAGAGGUGUAACUUCUGAUGUUUCUUUUCCCAAAUAAAGCACAGUGGAAGUUUACUGCCUAUUUAUUUCACAAUAAUUUUUAGGAUAAAAAUUUUGCUCAUAAAAGGUUAU
ensembl:lncRNA